AAGGAUGUAACUCAGUAGUAGAGGGCUUACCUAGCAUAUAUGAGGCCCUGGGUUCAACCUCCAGCAUUGUUA
rnacentral:tRNA from 1 species